UUGACCUCGGAUCAGGUAGGACUACCCGCUGAACUUAAGCAUA
rnacentral:rRNA from 1 species